AACAAACGCUGGCGGCGUGCCUAACACAUGCAAGUCGUACGAGAAAGGGUCCUUCGGGGCCUGAGUAAAGUGGCGCACGGGUGAGUAACGCGUGGAUAAUCUGCCCUUCAGUUGGGAAUAACUCAUCGAAAGGUGGGCUAAUACCGAAUAAUGCUGUGAGACCUCGGUUGAUCAGCCAAAGAGAGCCUCUGCUUGCAAGCCCUCGCUGAAGGAUGAGUCCGCGUACCAUUAGCUAGUUGGUAGGGUAAUGGCCUACCAAGGCGACGAUGGUUGGCUGGGCUGAGAGGAUGAUCAGCCACACUGGAACUGAGACACGGUCCAGACUCCUACGGGAGGCAGCAGUGAGGAAUCCUGCGCAAUGGGGGCAACCCUGACGCAGCAACGCCGCGUGAGUGAGGAAGGUCUUCGGAUCGUAAAGCUCUGUCGGAUGGAAAGAACCGCAUAGGGGUAAACAGCCCCUGUGUCUGACGGUACCAUCAAAGGAAGCACCGGCUAACUCCGUGCCAGCCGCCGCGGUAACAC
rnacentral:rRNA from 1 species